CCUGCCCCUAGAGGUACUGCAGAUGUGGCUGCACUGUCACAUGUGUGUCGGUAGGUGGCAGAGAAGAGAGAGGCUAUGUCUACACACAGUGUUCUGACCUAUGAACAUCUGAAUGAUUAGAAGUCUAACACU